rnacentral:rRNA from 1 species
AUGUUCCAAGGGAAACACACAACUUCUGUUUCAGAGGCUGACAGGAAACGAAACAAAACAUCACAGAGGACAGGCUGCAAUGCAAGAAUGAGGGUGAAGGUGCAGGAGGAUAACACAUGUGUAGUAGUGGAAAUUGAGUACAAUCAUAAUCACCACCGCAUGCAAACGGAUGACAUGCUGAUAUUCUUGCACUCACACAAGAAUUAUGACCCCACUAUUCUAGAGUACGUAAAGCUCCUUCAGUACCAUGAUGUCAAGCAUACAACAAUCAUGUCCAUGCUAUCCGAAAAUGAAGAUGGAAGCUACUUCCUAAGUAUGACCGGACGAGACCUACUAAACCAGAAAGCCAUGAAUGCAAAGAAAGAUGAUUUAGAUGAUGUAUUGAAACUUGUAUCUUUCUUCAAAGACAUGAAGGAAAUCAAUGAAGAGUUUUUCUAUGACAUACAAUCCAAUGCAAGCUGUCGAGGAGCGUAUCAAGACUUUUGGGAUUGCGUAACUUUCGACAUAACUUACAAGACCAACAGAUUUCAUAUACCUUUGGGUGUGUUUGUUGGAAUAAACCAUCAUUUGCAGUCAACGAUAUUUGCUAUUGCCCUGAUCAGAGACGAAGAUCCUAUGGGUCUGUAUUGGGUACACUGGUUUUAUCUGAAAAAAAUGUAAAGCAAGCAGUUCAACCACUUUCAUGCAGACCAGUGCCCGCCGAUGGCCAAAUCUAUACCACAAUCAUUCCCAAACAUUGCCCACAAGCUAUGUCGUUGGCACAUCCUGAAGAAGUUCAAGGAAUACGUUGCGUUGCUGUGCAAAAAGUAUAAAACAUUCAAAGAGGAGUUCACAACAAUCUUAAAUUGGCCGCUAAUGCCAACGGAGUUUGAAGCUGCCUAGGCUGAACUCGUGCAAAAGUACAACCUACAGAACGACCGGAUGAUGAUGCAACUGUGGAAUGAUAGGAAAAUGUGGAUAUAAGCCUAUUACAAGAACAUUUUUUAUGCUAGAAUGACUUCUACACAACGAAGCGAGAGCAUGAAUCAUGUGCUCAAGAGAGGGUUUGUUAGGGGGACCCAGAACCUACACAAGUUUGCUAGGCAGGUAAAUGCUUGCAUACAAACUCGGAUGCAGAAGGAGAACGAGCAAACAAUGACCAGCAUGGUAUGA